rnacentral:rRNA from 1 species
AAAUUGAAGAGUUUGAUCAUGGCUCAGAUUGAACGCUGGCGGCAGGCCUAACACAUGCAAGUCGAACGGUAACAGAAAGCAGCUUGCUGUUUCGCUGACGAGUGGCGGACGGGUGAGUAAUGUCUGGGAAACUGCCUGAUGGAGGGGGAUAACUACUGGAAACGGUAGCUAAUACCGCAUAACGUCGCAAGACCAAAGAGGGGGACCUUCGGGCCUCUUGCCAUCGGAUGUGCCCAGAUGGGAUUAGCUUGUUGGUGGGGUAACGGCUCACCAAGGCGACGAUCCCUAGCUGGUCUGAGAGGAUGACCAGCCACACUGGAACUGAGACACGGUCCAGACUCCUACGGGAGGCAGCAGUGGGGAAUAUUGCACAAUGGGCGCAAGCCUGAUGCAGCCAUGCCGCGUGUAUGAAGAAGGCCUUCGGGUUGUAAAGUACUUUCAGCGGGGAGGAAGGGAGUAAAGUUAAUACCUUUGCUCAUUGACGUUACCCGCAGAAGAAGCACCGGCUAACUCCGUGCCAGCAGCCGCGGUAAUACGGAGGGUGCAAGCGUUAAUCGGAAUUACUGGGCGUAAAGCGCACGCAGGCGGUUUGUUAAGUCAGAUGUGAAAUCCCCGGGCUCAACCUGGGAACUGCAUCUGAUACUGGCAAGCUUGAGUCUCGUAGAGGGGGGUAGAAUUCCAGGUGUAGCGGUGAAAUGCGUAGAGAUCUGGAGGAAUACCGGUGGCGAAGGCGGCCCCCUGGACGAAGACUGACGCUCAGGUGCGAAAGCGUGGGGAGCAAACAGGAUUAGAUACCCUGGUAGUCCACGCCGUAAACGAUGUCGACUUGGAGGUUGUGCCCUUGAGGCGUGGCUUCCGGAGCUAACGCGUUAAGUCGACCGCCUGGGGAGUACGGCCGCAAGGUUAAAACUCAAAUGAAUUGACGGGGGCCCGCACAAGCGGUGGAGCAUGUGGUUUAAUUCGAUGCAACGCGAAGAACCUUACCUGGUCUUGACAUCCACAGAACUUUCCAGAGAUGGAUUGGUGCCUUCGGGAACUGUGAGACAGGUGCUGCAUGGCUGUCGUCAGCUCGUGUUGUGAAAUGUUGGGUUAAGUCCCGCAACGAGCGCAACCCUUAUCCUUUGUUGCCAGCGGUCCGGCCGGGAACUCAAAGGAGACUGCCAGUGAUAAACUGGAGGAAGGUGGGGAUGACGUCAAGUCAUCAUGGCCCUUACGACCAGGGCUACACACGUGCUACAAUGGCGCAUACAAAGAGAAGCGACCUCGCGAGAGCAAGCGGACCUCAUAAAGUGCGUCGUAGUCCGGAUUGGAGUCUGCAACUCGACUCCAUGAAGUCGGAAUCGCUAGUAAUCGUGGAUCAGAAUGCCACGGUGAAUACGUUCCCGGGCCUUGUACACACCGCCCGUCACACCAUGGGAGUGGGUUGCAAAAGAAGUAGGUAGCUUAACCUUCGGGAGGGCGCUUACCACUUUGUGAUUCAUGACUGGGGUGAAGUCGUAACAAGGUAACCGUAGGGGAACCUGCGGUUGGAUCACCUCCUUACCUUAAAGAAGC